rnacentral:rRNA from 1 species
CCCUUAGAUGUUCUGGGCAGCACGCGCGCUACAAUGGUCUUCGCAAACGGAUGCAUUCUCGAAGGAGAAUGCCAAUCUUGGAAUCUAUGCCUUGGUCGGGACAGUUGCUUGCAAUUUUUCGACUCGAACCAGGAAUUCCUUGUAAUCGUGAUUCAUCACAUCACGAUGAAUACGUCCCUGCCCUUUGUACACACCGCCCGUCGCUCCUACCGAUCGAAGAGUUAGGUGAAUUGUUUUGAUCGAUAAGAUUUGACUAUGGUCAACUCUCAUUGUGAAAUUCUGUGAAUCUGACUGUUUAGAGGAAGGAAAAGUCGUAACA